rnacentral:lncRNA from 1 species
AAGCCGAGGGAACGCUGUGGCUGAAAGGGACCUGGGUCCGCUCAGUCAGCCCGAGGCUGCUCCUGGGCCCUGGGAAGCCCCCGAUUAAUGAAUGGUCGGGUCAGCGACGCGAGGGUCGGGGUUUCUCUGAGGACCGCGCGCUGCACCUGCGGAGCCGGGUGAAUGGAUGUCGCGAAGGCAAGGGCUGCCCUUACCCCUCGGGGCCGACCUCGGAGCCCUCGCCCGUGGUUGCAACGCUUUCCCGGGAAACCGGAGAAGCCAGGCCGGGGGCUCGGCCUUUCUGAGGCGGCCCUUCCGGCGGAGGACACCGGCGGAAUUUGAGUGCACAGAGUGCGCGAGAGGAGCUCCCUGUAGACACACAGUCCAAGCCACGUAGGUAAUUCUAAUAGCAGCCACAUUUUUAAAGAGUAAAGAGAAAUCGGUGAAACUGCUUUUAAUGUGUUUAAUUUAGCCCAUCCUGUCAUUUCAGCAUGUAAUCAGUCUAAAAGAAUUAAUUAGAUCUUUUACGCUCUGUCGUUGGUUCUAAGUCUUGGAAAUCCAGUGUGUGUUUUAGAGUUAACAGCCCAUCUCAAUUUGGACUAGACCCGUGCCAGGUGCCCAGUUGGCUGUGUACCCUCAUGUAUAUAGGACAGCAAAGUUCUGUAGAAAAGAACUUCAGGCCAGGCGCGGUGGCUCACGCCCGUAAUCCCAGCACUUUGCGAGGCCGAGGCGGGCGGAUCAUCUGAGGUCAGGGGUUCAAGACCAGCCUGGCCAACAUGGCGAAACCCAGUCUCUGCUAAAAAAUACAAAAAUUAGUCCCGGCGCAGUGGCGCAGACCUGUAAUCCCAGCUACUUGGGAGGUUGAGGCAGGAGAAUCGCUUGAACCCGGGAGGCGGAGGUUGUGGUGAGCCGAGAUCGCGCCACUGCACUCCAGCCUGGGCAACAGAGCAAGAUUCCAUCUCAAAAGAAAAAGAAAACAUGAACUUCAAAUGCUUGGGGAGGUCGUAGAUUUCAUCCACACAGCCUGGUUGAACCAGAGUCAGCCUUGUUAGAGUCGAAUGUUGCAUGCUCAGAAUCCAGGCUGCCAAGAGAAAACCAAAAGAAGAUGGCGCUUUAAAAAACCUUCCAGUGCCUUCCCUUGACUCAAUCAAAUUCAAACACCUUACUUUCUAUUCUCCGAGGCUCUACCCCUCCCUCUGAGGUCCUGCCACACCCCCUUCUCUACCCUGCUCACCCUACUUGAGUCGCAAUGACACAUUUGAUGUUCUUCUAACAAGCACUUUAGUUGGUACUAAGUCAGAAAGUCAGAAAUCCAUUACUCUUCUGCUUGGAACAUCCUUUUGCUGGCUUGCUUCCUUAUUUUUUGGAUCUCUGCCCAAAUGCCUUUGUAAGAGAGGCUUAUCCAAAUCCACUUACCAAAAAUAGUGCCUACCUUCCUAAGUCCUUACCAGGCAUAACUUUUCUCCAGUACUGUAUUAGUUAUCUACUACUCUGUAUUAAAUUACCCCCAAAUUUAGCAUCAAGCUUUAUUUCAGUUUCUGUAUGUCAGGUAUUUGAGUGACUCAGCUGGGUGGUUCUGACUAAGAUCUCCUAAGAGGUUGCAGUGAACAUGCUGUCCAGGGCUAAAAUCAUCUGAAGAUCUGACUGUAUUUGACUGUGGCUGGAGAGUCUCCCUUAAAGAUGGUUCAUUUACAUAGCUGAUAGCAAGAGGUUUUGGUUCCUUGACAAGUAGGCCUCUCCAUAGGGCUGCUUGAGUGCAGCAGAGAGCCACAUGAAAUUCAUAGACCUAGCAUUGGAAGUCACACAGUCGUUUCCACAAUGUGUUGUUACUUUUGCAGGCUUAGCACUGGAAGUCCUGCAUCCCAGGAAAUCCCUCAAUCCUGGGCAAACCAGGAUGUCUAGUCACACUGCAUGUUAGUCAUCUGCGUCUAGAUAGAACAUAAGCUCCAUGACAGCAAGCACUCCUUUGUUGUAUACCCUAAUGCUAGAACAGUGCCAGCAGAUCAACUGUUCAGUAUUUGUUAAACGAAUCUUUUGCAGUGCAAAAGUUAAGUCAGAUGGUGAUUUUUAUUUCUGAAAACUUAUUUUGAGAUUAUCAGUAUCUUUUAAAAUAGCUGAGCCAUCUGGAUACUCACUUUGAGAAAUGUAGCUAGUAUUAGUUGUUAACUGGAAUAAGCAAAGCAGAGUAUAUUUUCAAGCUUCCCUAAAAAGUAAAGCAGAAGAUGGCUAUAAAAGUAAAGAACUUCUGGUUUUACUUUUGCCUAUUAUCAUUCUUAUAUGGCUCUUCCAGCAUCUGUUCUUCAGGUCACUAUUUCCUCCCUGCCUCCUCUAAUCUAUUUUCAUGUUCCUCCUAUUUCAGCAUCAUUGAACUCUCCAGUUUCUUUACUUUUCUUCUUUAAAGGGGUAUUGUUUCCUCCGCCAUACUAAUUUUCCAAUGUACUGUUCUUCUGCAGUCUCCAAGAUAACCUUACUCUUUCCCCAUAUCCCCCUCUACAGUAAAUACAGGUAAUCAGUAAUUUUCCUGUAGUAUUUUUUUCAUAUGUCACUUUUUCUGUUCAAGAAUAGUUGUCUGAUGCCCAUAAGAUAAAGUUUAAAUUCCAUUUGUAUCUUUCCUUUCCUGGCUUUCGUAUCUCCCAUAGUCUCUCCCACAUGCUAUGUAUUUUUUGUAAUAUUCUACUGGUUCUAAAUUAAGGCAUUCCUACCCUCACGAAGUUUUUUUUUUUUUUUUUUUUUUUUACUUCUUAGGGAUGAUAAAAAAAUAUUUACAGUUAAAUAGCUGGAUCUAGUACAAUGAAAUAUAAAGAAAGGGCUAAUGAGUAUUUAGGAUAGAGAAAUCUCAUGCCAUUAGAGAGAUCAGAAAAGUUUUCAUUAAGGAGUAGACAUUUCAGAUGGGUCCUAAAGGAGAAGAUUGAGGACUCUGCAAGUGGAAAGGGAGGUGGAACAGGUAGAAGAAAUACUGUGGAGGGAGGAAAAUCAAGGACAUAUUUAAGAAGAAUGUGUCUACGUUGGAUGAAGCUUAGGAUACAAACAAGGGAAAAUGAGACUAGAGAGAGCCACGAUAUCAUUGGCAAAAGACUUGGAUUGUUGUGUUUACUGCUCAUGCUUCAUUUGAUGGAGAGUCACAGAAUGUUUCAGCUUGUAUGGCACCAGGAAUAGAAGUGGGCCUUGAGUAAAUCCAGCAGCAGUAUCUGGAACUAAUUGGAGAAAAAAAAAAAGAGUAGGUCUACAGCCAAUACCUCCUUGGUAAAUGCAAGGGACUGUUGAGUAAAAUCUCUGCGGCACAUCCUCAGCACUCUUAAUGUGUCUAACCUCUGCUGACAGUACUGCUAUCAAAAAAAAUUACCAAAUUGAUCACUCUGAAGAAUUUAAACUAAGAUCACUGAUAUAGUUUGGAUGUUGUCCCCACUUAUAUCUCAUGUCAAAAUGUAAUCCCAGUGUUGGAAGCAGGGCCUGGUGGGAGUGAUUGGAUCAUGGGUGUGAAUUUCUCAGCACCAUCCCCUUGGUGCUGUUCCAGCGACAGUGAGUUCUCUCAAGGUGUGGUUGUUUAAAAGUGUGUAUCACCUCCUGCCUUGCUCUCUCUUGCCUCUGAUUUUGGCAUGUGAACUGCCUGCGCCCACUUUGCCUUCUGCCUUGAGUAAAAGCUCCCUGAGGUCUCUCCAGAAGCAGAGGCCACCAUGCUUCUGUACAGCCUGCAGAACCCUGAACCAAUUAAAUCUCAUAUAAAUUACCCAGUCUCAGGUAUUUCUUUAUAGCAAUGUGAGGAUGGACUAAUACAACCAUCUAUGACAAAGAAAAUUAAUUUGAAAGUAUUGAAAAUUAUAAUUCCUUCUGUAUGUCAUGACAUAGCCCUUAAAAUAGUUCACGUAAUUCUUAAACUACUAGAGUUAUGGUGCACACUGUAACAGUGACAGUACACACAGUAACAUGGUUCUUGUUUCAGUCUUGGAAGACUUUGGGAUAUUCAUCCUUGAUAAUUACAUAAUUUAAAAUAAAAGCUAAUAAAGUUGCCUUCAAGUCAUUUUGUAUGCUGAUCACAAUAUUCUCUGUGACAAGUUUACUGCUGUUCACAUUCCUAUAUCGCAGUGGCACCUUGGUUUUUAAAAGGAAGGCUAUGAAGGGGAUUGGGUUGGUUGAGGGUAACCUUUGGUGGGGGUAACAAAUACUGAAAUAUAAAAACUAAUGUACACUUAUCACAUGGUUUACAGUUUCUGUGAAUUCUGUGUUUAUGAAAACGUUAAGUCCUGUGAGAGAUUUUCAAUCCCCAAUUGUUUUGGCUGUCUACAUAUGCAAAGUCUUGUCUUAAUUUAAUAAGGAAUUGAAAUUUACAGCAAAGCCUGUUUACACAGCAUUUAAAACAGUAUAGAUCAACUGGUUUCUGCAGUCUUUGAAAAAAGAAAAAAACUAAAAUAAAAUCAGUAUUUAAUACUUAGUGAAAUUCUGUUAAACUAUUUAAAAUUAUGAUCGCUGUUAAUGUAUCAAAAAGCAAAACCAAUAUACUAGUAUGAUACAUUAGAAAGAGAAUAGGCUUUGGGGUCAGGCUGGCUUUUUCCCUGACUAGCUAUGUAACCUUGGACAAUUUAUCUACCCUGUUCUUUGGCAAAAUGUUCCUAAUACCACUUAACUGUAGAGUCAGGAGGGUUAAACAGGAUCCUGUUUUCUAUGUCUUAGACCAAGAGUUUGCACACUUUUCCUGUAAAGGGCCAGAAAGUAAAUAUGCUUUGUAGGCCUGGGUUCUCUGUCACAGCUAAUCAGCUUCAUUGUUAUAGCAUAAAAGCAGCCAUAGACAAUACAUAAACAAAUGAGCCUAGCUGUGUUCUAAUUAAACAUUAUUCACAGAUGCUGAAAAUUGAUUUUCAUUUAUUCUCAUGUCACAAAAUAGUCUUCUGAUUUUUUUCAACUACUUCAAGAUGUAAAAAAUCGUUCUUAGCUUGCAGCCCCUACAAAAACAGGUAGCAGGCCAGAUUUGGCCCAUGGGCCAUAGUCUGCCAACCCUAGCCUUAAGACACUUAAUCCUUGUAACACUCUGUGAAGUAAAUGGUACUACAUUUUUAUUUUGUAGAUGAGGUAAAUAGGUAUGGAGUUAUUAGGUGAUUUUCUCAGAGUCCCAUAGCUAGUAGGUGUUAUAACCAUAAAAAUUACUAUUAUAGAACCUUACGCUUGGUCCACAAAAUCAACUGAAAUAGUAGACAUUUUUGCAACACUUCCAUCCAUUAAUUCCACAAGGAUUUCUUGCACUGUGAGGCUGAUACAGUGCUAGACCCAUUAAAAGAACCUUAUGGUUCUUGUAAGCUGUUCCUUGUUGAUAGCCUUUGUUUUAAUGUUUAAAAGAAUGGCUCAGUUGAAACACAGGCAGGAAAAAAUCAGUAUCUUGGUUUUAUGCAGCCUUUCCACACACACACCUGCCCCCAACGUGCUUCAGAUACUUUUUUUCAUUCAUUCUCUAAACAUCCGUGUGUGAUAAGGUAAGAAUUAACUUCCCUAUUUAAUGUUUGGGGAAACAGGAUGGAGCUUGGGGACGUUGUAUGACUUUGACACUGUGUCUCAGGGCCAUAAUAUUAACAUGAGAACCAGAACUCUUAUUUUCAACAUCUUUCUUAGUACAAAUGCUACAGUGGAAAUGGAGGAAUAAUACACAAAAAUAUAGCUCUGAGGCUAAUUUCAUCAUGACACAAAUGAUCUAAGACAACAGUAGUUCAGUAAAGGUUUUCAGAAGAAUUUCCUAUCUUGCAAUGAACACAGCUAGAGCAGUGUAAAGAAGUAUACCCAUCUAGAUUAUAAACAUAAUAUAAAUGUUAAAAUCACGUUUUUCUUAAAUGUGGAUUUGCUUCUUGACUAAAAUUAGUGGCAUGCUGGCAUUUGCCACUUUUUUAAAUGGAAGAAAGUUGCAUUUAUUUCAUAUAUAAGAGUGAGAUGCCUAAAUAUGUUGACUAUAUUUGCCAAUUACAAAACCUUAUAAAAGUUUUCCUAAUAUUUUAUUAAACCGGGAAGCAGGCAGUUUAAAAAAAAAAAUCCCUUUUGAAGCUAUGUAGGGUAAGAAAAAAACAAAGGUAUUUCAGAAUGAGAAUAUUCAAGCCUGGAUUGAUCUUCCAAAGCGAGCUUCAGCUUCUUGAGCACUGCUUUAUUGCUUCAGAUUAAAAUACAUGCUCAAUGUAUGCUAUUGCCAUUGUGUGAUUUUGCUCAGUACUUUCUAAAGGAAGUAAGCAGAACUUCUCUACAGCUUUCAGUUUUAAAAAUAUAUAUCCAUGGUUCACAUUUUAAGUACUUCAGUCCACUUAGAUUUUACAAACCACUCAUUAUCAGUUCUUUCAGAUGUUGGGGAAAUAUUGCUAUUUAUAUUCUCAUAGUAAAGGACAUGUAGUCCUCUACUACACUGGAUCAAUCAUAUGAAAUGUAUCUGCUCCUUCAUCUUUUAAAACCAGAAACAGUGACCCCCCACCACCAAAACACACAUAUACACAAACAAGAACUUUCAACAUCCUUGUGUUUGUUUGAAUUAAUAGUUGUGAGAAAGUCCCAUUAUUGUAUUGUGUAAAUUUGUAGUCAUACAGUCAUAUACAAAUAAUAUUAAAAUUCAUACAUAGUUAUAAUGCUGCUGUCCCUAGAGAGCUGGCAUGUCUCCUCAAUAGUGGUAAUAGCACAUUUUUCUACCCUACCAACUUCCUCCCAUCCUCACACCCCUUUUAAUUUGUAGUUAUUAACAUUUUAUUCUAGAUUUAUUGUUCAUACCACCACAGAUUAUCAGCCCUUGAGUUCGUCUUCCUGUAAGGUCAUCUAGUGACUUAUAUUCUUUAAUUACUUGGAUUAUUUAACUUUUUUUCUCCUUAGUGAAGAAAUGGAAAUGACCUUUAAACUUUUCUACUUUAUAUCCAAGAAUAUUGUUUUAAAGAAAGAAACAUACACAUAAAAAAAUACUGAUAACGACUAUUUUAUAAAUAUGUAACUGUAUUUUUCUU